rnacentral:rRNA from 1 species
AGUGAACGCUGGCGGUAGGCCUAACACAUGCAAGUCGAACGGCAGCACAGUAAGAGCUUGCUCUUACGGGUGGCGAGUGACGGACGGGUGAGGAAUACAUCGGAAUCUACUUUUUCUUGGGGGACAACGUAGGGAAACUUACGCUAAUACCGCAUACGACCUACGGGUGAAAGCAAGGGAUCUUCGGACCUUGCGCGAUUGAUUGAGCCGAUGUCGGAUUAGCUAGUUGGCGGGGUAAAGGCCCACCAAGGCGACGAUCCGUAGCUGAUCUGAGAGGAUGAUCGGCCACACUGGAACUGAGACACGGUCCAGACUCCUACGGGAGGCAGCAGUGGGGAAUAUUGGACAAUGGGCGCAAGCCUGAUCCAGCCAUACCGCGUGGGUGAAGAAGGCCUUCGGGUUGUAAAGCCCUUUUGUUGGGAAAGAAAAGCAGCAGGUUAAUACCCCGCUGUUCUGACGGUACCCAAAGAGUAAGCACCGGCUAACUUCGUG